rnacentral:lncRNA from 1 species
UGCAAGUUGAAAGCUCAUUGAAGCAAACAGAAUGAACCAAUCCAAAUCAAUUCAAAAAUGAUUCAAUAAAUCCCAAGCAAAAUCAUGGCUAAACAGCAUUCAUCACAUGAUCAUCAUACCAAAAAUCAAGUCAUUUGGAAAAGUGGAAGCAAGGCAAAUAAAUUCCAUAAGGCAAGGCAAGGCAAAACAAUCUCAAAUGAAGCCCCAUU